rnacentral:rRNA from 1 species
UACGGAGGGGGCAAGCGUUGUUCGGAAUUACUGGGCGUAAAGCGCACGUAGGCGGACUGGUCAGUUGGGGGUGAAAUCCCGAGGCUUAACCUCGGAACUGCCUUCAAUACUGCCAGUCUUGAGAUCGGAAGAGGUGAGUGGAAUUCCUAGUGUAGAGGUGAAAUUCGUAGAUAUUAGGAAGAACACCAGUGGCGAAGGCGGCUCACUGGUCCGAUACUGACGCUGAGGUGCGAAAGCGUGGGGAGCGAACAGG